ACGAGGCGGGGCCGGCUUAGAAGACCCGGGGCACAGCCGACGUAGGCACUGCAGCAGAGGGCGGGAGCGACAGGGCGCUGGCUUAGGGCAUCUGAGAUUAUGAGCACACCGCAGGGACUAACCAGUUCCGGAAGUGUUCUGAUUGGGAGCCUGCACACCUCUGCAUCAGCGAUGGUCACUCAGACACACGUAGCAGAAGCCACUGGCUAGAGCCAAAGGGGAUGCGGCAUCCUUUACAAGCACCAACCCAAAUCCGACACUUCGAGUUGCCACGCGUCAUCUCACCACAGACACGUAAGACGCUGCUGCCGGGGCCCGAGCCCACCCUCGGCCAGGCCGACCUGCCUGCCGCUGUCUGGGUGUGUGUGUAGGGGAGACUCUGGGCUGGAAAGCUGGAUGGCAGAGUCAUGACAGGCCUCGAGGACCACGCUGCUGCAGUUACUGACGAGCCAGCUUCUGUCCCUGGGCGACCACCAGAUCCUACUGGACCAGGAGUUCACCGACCAAAGGGAUCCAAUCCCUUCAACAGGGGGCAGAGGACGGCGGGAACCAGAUAUCCUUUUCCAGAAAUUGGCGAUUCAGACACAGGAGUGAUAGUCAACCUCUGAUGGACAUUUGGGCUGAAAGGGCCUGUAGGGCUGGCCAGCAUUUCCCACUGCAGCCCGGAGGGGCGGAGAAGCCUGGUCCGCACAGAGAGAACUUAAUGGAGGUGACACACGGGGACACAGAGAGGGGGUGCCCUGGAGAGAGAGGUUUUGGCUUCCAGGUUCUGUCCUACGCUCUUGUUUCCUCCCCACAUCCCGUGUUGCUCAAACAGCAGGUGGCCCUGAGACAGGUGCCCUUCUGUUCAGUUUGCAUUUAAUGCAGAGCAAAACAAUUCCGAAAACUUUUGCCCGAGAGCUCAGAAUUUAAAUUCUGUCCAGACUGCCAGGAACACCCAGAAUACAGUGGGGCCUCUGCUAAUUGGAUUUUCUGGAUAAAUAAGUCUUAAGCAGAGAACUUUCUAUUUGUUUCCAUCUUUGUUACAAAAAAUUGUCUAAAAUGCAUAAAUAAAAAAACAAAUUGGAAACAAUUUAAAUGUCUAUCAGUAGUACACUGGUUAGAAAUUUGUGAGUGGAGUACUAUGCAAGCAUUAAAAAAAUAAGACGGAAGAUGGUCUGUUAGGGUACAUAACUCCCUGUGUUCUCAAAUCACCGGCCAUCUGAAUGGAGCGCCCAUAGAGAUUCAAUCCCUGUCUCCGCGUAUUGGUUCUAGUAGGUGACAGGCAGCCUGAAUACUGGCUUUUCUGGUUACGUAUUCUGGCGAAUCCUUUCUGGGACAGACUUUGGGACUCUCCAGUAAGUCUGGGUAUUUGGUGGGGAGUCCCACUGGCCGUCUGGACUGGGUGGCCCGGGUGUGUGGAUUUGGAGAUUCCCUAUCAGCUGCCAAGUGAUUUCGCUUGGGGACUCCCCUUCUCUGACUCUCGGCACCUCCUGUCGUCUUCAUUUUUUUAUCGAAUCAUUGCACUUUCUGGUUCAGGUUACAGUCCUGGGUCAUGACUUUGUCAGGAAUUUAGGUGCCUUCUGGUUUUCAGAACUCUGUCGGGUAAAAAGCUGCCUUCUGGUUCUUGCGAUAUUACUGAGCUUUAUCUGGUGGGGUGAGGUGGGGGAAGCCUCCAUUCUGGGAUACAGCUGUUUGGGGUGAAUUUUGGCUGGUUGGUUGACCUAUGCUGAUAAACCUGUGACUAACAAGAAAGUGGUUUUUAUUAUAAUAUUGUUUGGCUCAUAUAUUGUGUAAUCUAGACUCGGGAGAGUGCUGGCCGCUGAAUGGGUCUUUAAGUUACUGUAUUAUACAGCAGUUAGAGUUGUUUGUCAAAGAUCAGGGAAGUGGACCAAAGUGCCUUACCUAGAACCUCUCAUGAGUUCAUAUAAUAAGGAUGCAGGAUUAAAAGGAAAUAGAUUAAUGGUCCAGAGAAAAGGGAAUGUGCCUGUGCAGCAGAAGGUCAGAGGACAGGGACCAAGAAGAUCUGAAUAUCAUGGCAACUGUGAGCAUGGCCAGGGUUCCCACGGCCCCCCAGCCCUGGGGGUCUUCCUCCUUACUGGACUGAGGGGACUGAGGAAAAUAAGCCUGAACUGGUGUCACCAUCUCGAACCCAUCAGGGAACCAAAUUCGGUGGAGGACAAGCCCCAGCCGGGGCAGGGAAAUCCCCUUUGAGAAAACCUCCAGCGGGAGUCGGGCCAAAGGGCCAGCCUGCUGGAUGUCACGGGCAUAUGCUCUGCUUUGUACAUCACAUCUGUUAAACUGGAAAAGCUCUGAAAGGACCAGAGUAUAUAUGCCUUUAGAGUGGACAAAGGAGUACACAAAAGCUUUUGAGUCCCUGAAGGUACACCAGCUUCUGCACCAGCCUUAGGGUUUCAGAACCUACUAAAGCUCUUUCAGUGAUAAAUUCAUGAAAGGCAGGGUGUUGCCCUAGGAGUCUUCACCCAAAUGCUUAGUGACAUUUCACAACCCAUCGGCUUACCUAUCAAAGAAAUUAGAUGACACUCUCCAGGGGUGGCCAGCCUCCUCGAGGGCUGUGUCAGCCACACGUGAACCCUUAUGGGAAGCUAAGUUUUCCUUGGGACAGUCCACCAAGUGUUGAGCCUGCUGGAGUGGAAGGGAAAAAUGUGACCCAGUGGAAGAAGGGGCAGGUACCAAGCCAUUCUUCUCAACAAUCCCAACGUCUUCCUCAAAUCGGGAAGUUAAAUCCUGCCUCUCUUCUCCCAGAGCCCAACUUGGCUACACUAAUACGUGACUGUGCUGAAAUGACUGAUGAAGAGUGUUCUAGCAGAACUGAUUUACAGGACCAUCCUCUAGAAGAAGCAGACUGGACUGUCUAUGCAGAUGGAAGCAGCUUUGUGGACAAAGGGAACAGAGAGGCUAGACGUGCAGUUGUGGCUCUGGAUGGAGUUAGUGGAGGCCAAGGCCUUGCUGCCAGGAACCUCUGCUCAGAAAGCUGAACUGAUGGCACUGACGAGGCACUGGAACUGUUGUGCACAAAGAGGGUGAAUGUGUAUACCGACUUCAGGGACACUUUCCUAAUUUUGCAAUCACAUGGUUCCAUCUGGAAGGAAAAAGAACUGUUAGCCUCCAAAUAAAAAGGAGAAUAAGAAUGCAGCAGAAAUCUCGAAAUGAUUAGAGGCUGUUCAGGUACCUUUACAGGUGGCAGCUGUGCACUGCCCAGGGCUUCAGAAGGAGGACACUGAAGUGGCUACAGGAAACAAUCUGGCAGCGAAAGAGUCACUAAAGGAAUAUUUAUAAUAGGGUUUUGAUGAAGAAGGAGCUGAUGGUGGAUGGAGAAAGAAUAAGAAAGGAGUUGUACAACUCCCUGAACAUUUAGUGGAGUCAGUCGUGAAGCAUUUGCAUGAGGCCAGUCACUACGGAAGAGACUCAUUAACUAUGUAUAUUAAACCGUGGCUCACAGGUCCUGGAAUUUCUAAAGCCAUACAAAAAGUAACUGUUAGAUGUGCUGUGUAUCAGAAGAACAACCCAAGACAGACCCCCGCAAUACCAAGGACACUGCCCGCUUGAGGACUGGCAAAUAAUAGACUUUACUCAGAUGCCAAGGGUCAGAGGGUGGAGGUGUUUGUUAGUCUUUGCCAACACCUUUUCAGGAUGGGUAGAAGUCCACCCUACUAAAACAGAGAAUCCUCAGAGGUAGUGAAAGCCUUACUAAAAGAAAUAAUUCCUCACUCUGGCCUUCCUGGCAGCAUCCAGAGUGUUAAUGGACCUGCUUUUGUUUGAGAAAUUACACAAAAGUUUAGUAAAUUUUCAGGAAUCAAGUGGAGACUCCACAUGGCAUGGAGACCUCAAGCUUCUGGAAGAGUGGAGAAGAUGAAUCACACUUUGAAGAGAAAUACUGCCAAACUGUGUUAAGAAACUCAUCUCCACCCUGGCUGGUGUGGCACAGUAGACUGGCCUGCUAACCAAAAGGGCGUUGGUUCAAUUCCCCGUCAGGGCACAUGCUUGGGUUGAGGUCCGGGUCCUGACUGGGGGCGUGUGAGCAGCAACUGAUCAAUGUAUCUCUUACACAGCAAUGUUUCUCUCCCUCUCUUUCUUUCUUCCUUUUCUUCUCUCUAAAUAUAAAUAAAUAAAAUCUAAAAUUAAAAAAAGAAACAACCAGUGAAUGCAUAAAAAAGUAGAACAACAAAUCAAUGUUUCUCCCUUCCUCUCUCUCUCUAAAAAAAAAAAAUCAAUAUUUAAAAAUGUAAAAGACAAAAGAAAAAAGAAACUCAUCUCCCUCGGGAUCAAGCUUCACCUAUCACCCUGCUCAGGAUAUGGGUGGCUCCUCAAAGUGGGGUUCAACCCAGUCCUUAAUGAAAUUGUGACAUGUGACCAUUUCAGGCUAUGAUUGGGGUGGGAGACAUGUAUAUAGAUUAAGAAGUGAAGGUAAAGAAAUAUGUGAAACAUUUAAGUCAGACCUUAGCUGUAAUGAAUGACCUUGCCUGCAGUAAAGACUUCUCCUCCACAGGUUUGCUGCAUUCCUUUGGGCCUGCAGAUAAGGUGCUACUCAAGACUUGGAAGACAGGAUCUCCAGAAAGCCAACUAGGGGAAAAGUGGACUGAACUGUAGGAUGUCCUCCUCACCAUCCCCGCCACAGUGAAACUGGCAGAAAUAAAAGCUCGGAUCCAUCACACCAGAGUAAAGAAAGCACUGGAGGGACGAUGGACCGCAGAACCUCAAGAAGACUUGAAAGUCAUAUUUUGAAUACAAUGACUUAUAUUCUUUACUUACUUUUUGCUUAACCCCCUGUUAUUGAAAACUUAUUCCUUUCAAACGGGAUGAAAAUAUUUUGGUAUAUUUAGCAGAAAUGUUCUAAACAUCUCUGAAUUUUGCCUUGCAGGAGGAACUUAUGAUGAACCAACUCUCACUUCAUAUCUUAUAGGUGUUUGUACUCCCCUGGAAAGCCUUUGAAAUUAUACUUAGUUUAAGGAUAUCAACAAGAAAAUAACCUACUCUGAUAUUUAUAAUCGGGGACCUGUGGUAACUCUAAUGGACAGGGAAAUGUUUUCCUUAAAAGUCACAAACGCAGCCCCAGCUGGAGAGUGUGCAACUUUGGUCAACUGUUAGGAACUGUUUUGUGCUUCAUCAUAGUUUGCUGUUGCAGGCACUGUGCCCCCUUAUGUGAAUCUGCAAUUAAAUGUAUUGCUGAGCCCCCUCCCAGAGGGUCUAAUGCUGAGACACGUGCUCAACAGCAAAAUGAAUACUUCCGUAUGAAACCAAUCUCCCAGAAAUAAGAGAGUUUAGACUAAUCGUGGGGGAAGGGUGAGGGACUCAGGAGUUGGGAAACUUCAGUUUCAGGUAGCAGUUGCACGUACAAGCUAUUGUUCUAGGAACUGAAGGUAUGACCCACCCUGAUUCCAGGAGACAGUAAGCAGUUCUACCUUUGUGCCUCAGGAGGACUGCAAGCCGUCAAGAUGGUAUCUGAGCGGUUGUGCUCCAAGGUGAGACACCCACCGCCCAGGGCACAGAUGGAAGAAUGCAGCUGCUUUUAUCUGAUAACUUUUCCCUGGAUUCCAAACCCCUUACCUAUACUUCUUCUAAAAAUGGUCUGUUUAAAAUGGAAUUUAAGACAGUCUGUCAGGGUACAAACCUGCUGUCUUCUCAAAUUGCUGACCACAUGACUAAAGCUCCCAUAAAGAUUCAAAAAAAAAAAAAAAAGAAAGAAAAAGAAUAAGACAGAUCCAUGUGACCCACCAUGGAAGGUUCUCCGUGAUACAUUGUUAAGUAAACAAUAAAAUAUCGAAUGCUAUGUGCAUUGUGUUUUAUUUGUAUGAAAAAAGAAACAGGAAAUGCAUAAGUUCAUAGGUCCACUCAGGCCCGGAUGCAGAGGGUACCUGUGGGGGCUGCCCGAGAUCCCCCACAGCGCGCGCCUCCAGGGAGACCCCUGGGACGAGAGGGACGCUCAUGUUUCUCUGUGUAUCCUUUCAUACUGCCUGAGAGAGAAAACAAUUUACAGUACACACGUGCUGGCUCUUUACUACAUACAUAAUACACAAGCACGUGCCAGUGUGCCUGCACACAGCCUGCUUUCCACUUCUAUUAGAAGUACAAAGCACUUAUUCCCCUCCAACCAUGACAGUUUCUGGAAAUCGGAGUAACAGGAGUAGGAGGAUCUUUAUAAAUGUCCUCACUGCUGGAGUCACUCUCAUGCGUUUGCCUUCACCUGUAGGAGCUGUCAAAUGACCAGAUGAGGUGACCGGAAGCGAAGGCCCGCGCUCCCUGUGCGGCGGAGUGGGGCCAGGGAGACCGGAGCGGCUGCGGUCUGGGCAGCAGCAGGCUGGCACCUGAGGUUGAGGAACUGCCAGUAACUGGGUUCUCGUUUCCCCUGUGGAUUCUCAUCACUCACAGCGAAGUCCUUGAACUCGGGCUUUCUGCAUCUAUUAAAUGGUGACAGCAAUACCUUCUUUCUAGGUUCUUCUGAGGAGCAGGGAUGAAAGCAUCUGGCACACGGCCCGGCUCGGCUACCGAACGCGGCGUGUUUUGCGGUCAUGUGAUGUUUCCCCAACGUGUCCGAGAAGGAGGUGCAUAAUCGAUCUUAGAGUGUCCCAGAUGAUGCUGGAUGCGUGUCCUGGGUUUAAAGUCGGACUCUGAUGUUUAGGGGAGGUUACUAACAGAAGUGUCUUUGCU